rnacentral:lncRNA from 1 species
GGAUGUAUCUGCUCCUUCAAAGAAAACUAAAUCAAGGAACAAAAAUCCACAGUAUCUUGUGUUCAUUUAGAUACAAUUGAUUUAGACUAGACUUACAAUCUCAAUGUUAAAACUAUGGGCUCAGUAGAUAUUGUGCUAUCUCUAGUUACCAUUGUUGGUGCCAAGAAUCAUGCAUCAAAGCUUAAAUUUAAGAAUAUAGAUUCUGCAUGUUCUAUUUAUGCUGAUACCAUUCACAUCCAAAGUCAAGAUAGUGUAAAUAUAGAGGCAAUGGAUUUUGAUUUUCACACCUCCCAAAGGGAGAAAGGGAGAUGGAAAUAUAUAUAUAUUAUUUUGGAUUUUGACUUCACACACCUAAACACACAAACAAACAAAC